GUUGAACGCUGGCGGCAGGCCUAACACAUGCAAGUCGAACGGUAACAGGAAGAAGCUUGCUUCUUUGUUGACGAGUGGCGGACGGGUGAGUAAUGUCUGGGAAACUGCCUGAUGGAUGGGGAUAACUACUGGAAACGGUAGCUAAUACCGCAUAACGUCGCAAGACCAAAAAGGGGGACCUUCGGGCCUCUUGCCAUCGGCUGUGCCCUGAUGGGAUUAGCUAGUAGGUGGGGUAACGGCUCACCUAGGCGACGAUCCCUAGCUGGUCUGAGAGGGUGACCAGCCACACUGGAACUGAGACACGGUCCAGACUCCUACGGGAGGCAGCAGUAGGGAAUAUUGCACAAUGGGCGCAAGCCUGAUGCAGCCAUGCCGCGUGUAUGAAGAAGGCCUUCGGGUUGUAAAGUACUUUCAGCGGGGAGGAAGGGAGUAAAGUUAAUACCUUUACACAUUGACGUUACCCGCAGAAGAAGCACCGGCUAACUCCGUG
rnacentral:rRNA from 1 species